GGCGCACGGGUGAGUACACGUAGGUAUUUGCCUUCGGGUGGGGAAUAACAGCCGGAAACGGCGGCUAAUACCGCAUAAUGCAGCGGCUCGACAUCGAGACAGUUGUUAAAGCGGGGGAUCGCAAGACCUCGCGCCUGAAGAGAAGCCUGCGGCAGAUUAGCUAGUUGGUAGGGUAAUGGCCUACCAAGGCAACGAUCUGUAACCGGCCUGAGAGGGCGGUCGGUCACACUGACACUGACAUACGGGUCAGACUCCUACGGGAGGCAGCAGUCGGGAAUUUUGGGCAAUGGGCGAAAAGCCUGACCCAGAACGCCGCGUGAAGGAUGAAAUCCCUCGGGAUGUAAACUUCGCAAGAAAUGGGAAGAAUAAAGUGGGGGAUAAUACCCCCCAUGAUGACGGUACCAUUUGUAAGCUCCGGUAACUCCGUGCCAGCAGCCGCGG
rnacentral:rRNA from 1 species